rnacentral:rRNA from 1 species
GACGAACGCUGGCGGCGUGCUUAACACAUGCAAGUCGAGCGGUAAGGCCCUUUCGGGGGUACGACGAGCGGCGAACGGGUGAGUAACACGUGGGCGACCUGCCCUCAGCUCUGGGAUAAGCCUGGGAAACCGGGUCUAAUACUGGAUAUGACUCCAUGACGCAUGUUGUGGGGUGGAAAGCCUUGUGCGGCUGAGGAUGGGCCCGCGGCCUAUCAGCUUGUUGGUGGGGUGGAUGGCCUACCAAGGCGACGACGGGUAGCCGGCCUGAGAGGGCGACCGGCCACACUGGGACUGAGACACGGCCCAGACUCCUACGGGAGGGCAGCAGUGGGGAAUCUUGCGCAAUGGGCGAAAGCCUGACGCAGCGACGCCGCGUGAGGGAUGACGGCCUGGUGUAAC